rnacentral:rRNA from 1 species
GAUCCUCGCUCAGGAUAAACGCUGGCGGCGCACAUAAGACAUGCAAGUCGAACGGAAGUCGUUGUAAUGAUAUAGACAUGGACGGAGAACUUGUUCAAAGAAAGUGAAAGUUGACUUACAACAAUGGCUUUAGUGGCGGACUGGUGAGUAACACGUAAGCAACCUGCCUAUCAGAGGUGAACAACAGUUAAGAAAUGACUGACUAAUACCGCAUAUGACCUAAGUAUCAC